rnacentral:rRNA from 1 species
GUGAUCGAUAGUGGACCAGUACCGUGAGGGAAAGGUGAAAAGAACCGCAGUGAGCGGAGUGAAAUAGAACCUGAAACCAUUUGCCUACAAUCAUUCAGAGCCCUAUGAUUUAUCAGGGUGAUGGACUGCCUUUUGCAUAAUGAUCCUGCGAGUUGUGGUAUCUGGCAAGGUUAAACUAAUGUGAAGCCGUAGCGAAAGCGAGUCUGAAAGGGCGAUUAAGUCAGAUGCUGCAGACCCGAAGCUGAGUGAUCUAUCCAUGGCCAAGUUGAAAGUGGGGUAACACCCACCGGAGGACUGAACUCGUACCCAUUGAAACGGGUUGGGAUGAGCUGUGGAUAGGGGUGAAAGGCCAAUCAAACUCAGUGAUAGCUGGUUCUCUUCGAAAUAUAUUUAGGUAUAGCCUCAAGUGAUAGUAAUAGGGGGUAGAGCUCUGAUUGGGCUAGGGCUGCUCACCGCGGUACCAACCCCUGUCAAACUACGAAUACCUAUUACCGUAUCUUGGGAGUCAGGCGGUGGGUGAUAAAAUCAAUCGUCUAAAGGGGAACAACCCAGACUACCAACUAAGGUCCCAAAGUUCUAUUCUAAGUGGAAAAAGAUGUGAAGUUACUUAGACAACCAGGAGGUUGGCUUAGAAGCAGCCAUCCUUUAAAGAUAGCGUAACAGCUCACUGGUCUAGUGAUUUUGCGCUGAAAAUAUAACGGGGCUAAGAUAGACACCGAAGUUGUAGAUUGUGCUGAUGCACAGUGGUAGAAGAGCGUUCACAUCAGCGUUGAAGCCAUACCGGUAAGGAGUGGUGGAGCGGUGUGAAGUGAGCAUGCAGGAAUGAGUAGCGAUAAAAGUGGUGAGAAUCCACUUCGCCGUAAAUCUAAGGUUUCCUACGCUAUGCUCGUCAUCGUAGGGUUAGUCGGGUCCUAAGACAAGUCCGAAAGGGGUAGUCGAUGGAAAAUUGGUUAAUAUUCCAAUACCAACAUUAGUGUGCGAUGGAGGGACGCAUAGGGUCAAGACAAGUUAGCCGAUAGAAAUGCUAGCCGAAGGGUGCAAGUUAGGAGAUUGGCAAAUCCGCUCCCGUAUCCCAAACCCAACAGGCCCUUUGAAGUCUUCGGAUGGAUAGGGGAAUUGUUAAGAUCGUCGUGCCAAGAAAAGCUUCUAAGUUUAGCUAAUGUUGCCCGUACCGCAAACCGACACAGGUAGAUGAGAUGAGUAUUCUAAGGCGCGUGAAAGAACUCUCUUUAAGGAACUCUGCAAACUAACACCGUAAGUUCGCGAUAAGGUGUGCCUAAGCAAUUAGGUCUCAGCAAAGAGUCCCUCCCGACUGUUUACCAAAAACACAGCACUUUGCCAACUCGUAAGAGGAAGUAUAAGGUGUGACGCCUGCCCGGUGCUCGAAGGUUAAGAGGAUUAGUCAGCAGCAAUGUGAAGCUUUGAAUUGAAGCCCGAGUAAACGGCGGCCGUAACUAUAACGGUCCUAAGGUAGCGAAAUUCCUUGUCGGUUAAAUACCGACCUGCAUGAAUGGCGUAACGAGAUGGGAGCUGUCUCAAAGAGUGAUUCAGUGAAAUUGUAGUGGAGGUGAAAAUUCCUCCUACCCGCGGCAAGACGGAAAGACCCCGUGGACCUUUACUACAGCUUGGCACUGCCGAUGGGAGCAUUAUGCGCAGCAUAGGUGGGAGGCUAUGAAAUCUUUACUCUGGUAGAGAUGGAGCCACCGUUGAGAUACCACCCUUAAUGUUUCUGUCUGCUAACUAGCUUGAGUUAUCCUCAAGUAGGACAAUGCCUGGUGGGUAGUUUGACUGGGGCGGUCGCCUCCUAAAAAGUAACGGAGGCUUGCAAAGGUUGGCUCAAAAUGGUUGGAAAUCAUUUGUAGAGUGUAAUGGCAUAAGCCAGCCUGACUGUAAGACAAACAAGUCAAGCAGAGACGAAAGUCGGUCAUAGUGAUCCGGUGAUUCUGUGUGGAAGGGUCAUCGCUCAAAGGAUAAAAGGUACCCCGGGGAUAACAGGCUGAUCUCCCCCAAGAGCUCACAUCGA